AUUGAACGCUGGCGGCAUGCCUUACACAUGCAAGUCGAACGGUAACAGGUCUUCGGAUGCUGACGAGUGGCGAACGGGUGAGUAAUACAUCGGAACGUGCCUAGUAGUGGGGGAUAACUACUCGAAAGGGUGGCUAAUACCGCAUGAGAUCUACGGAUGAAAGCAGGGGAUCGCAAGACCUUGUGCUACUAGAGCGGCCGAUGGCAGAUUAGGUAGUUGGUGGGAUAAAAGCUUACCAAGCCGACGAUCUGUAGCUGGUCUGAGAGGACGAUCAGCACCACUGGGCGUGAGGCACGGCCCAGACUCCUACGGGAGGCAGCAGUGGGGAAUUUUGGACAAUGGGCGCAAGCCUGAUCCAGCAAUGCCGCGUGCAGGAUGAAGGCGUUCGGGUUGUAAACUGCUUUUGUACGGAACGAAAGGCCCUGGGUUAAUACCCUGGGGUCAUGACGGUACCGUAAGAAUGAGCACCGGCUAACUACGUGCCAGCAGCCGCCGUAAAAC
rnacentral:rRNA from 1 species